GUUUCCCUACGGGGGGCAGCAGUGGGGAAUAUUGCACAAUGGGGGGAACCCUGAUGCAGCGACGCCGCGUGAGUGAAGAAGUAUUUCGGUAUGUAAAGCUCUAUCAGCAGGGAAGAUAAUGACGGUACCUGACUAAGAAGCCCAGGCUAACUACGUGCCAGCAGCCGCGGUAAUACGUAGGGGGCAAGCGUUAUCCGGAUUUACUGGGUGUAAAGGGAGCGUAGACGGCAUGGCAAGUCUGAUGUGAAAACCCGGGGCUCAACCCCGGGACUGCAUUGGAAACUGUCAGGCUAGAGUGUCGGAGG
rnacentral:rRNA from 1 species